CCUACGGGAGGCAGCAGUGGGGAAUUUUGCGCAAUGCUCGUAAGAGUGACGCAGCGACGCCGCGUGAAUGACGAAGGCCUUCGGGUCGUAAAGUUCUUUCGACAGGGAAGAAAAUGCCUAUAAGUAACUGUGUAUGUAUUGACGGUACCUGUAUAAGCAGCCCCGGCUAAUUCCGUGCAAGCAGCCGCGGUAAUACGGAGGGGGCGAGCGUUGGUCGGAGUGACUGGGCGUAAAGAGCACGUAGGCGGUGUUGUAAGGCAUUAGUCAAAGACUAGAGCUCAACUUUAGUAAGGCUAGUGAUACUAUAAUCCUAGAGUAUCAGAGAGGAUUGCAGAAUUCCUGGUGUAGCGGUGAAAUGCGUAGAUAUCAGGAGGAAUACCGUUAGCGAAGGCGGCAAUCUGGCUGGAAACUGACGCUGAGGUGCGAAAGCGUGGGUAGCAAACAGAAUUAGAUACCCGAGUAGUC
rnacentral:rRNA from 1 species